UACGUAGGGCGCAAGCGUUGUCCGGAAUUAUUGGGCGUAAAGAGCUCGUAGGCGGUCUGUUACGUCCGCUGUGAAAACCCAGGGCUUAACCCUGGGCUUGCAGUGGAUACGGGCAGACUAGAGGCAGGUAGGGGAGAAUGGAAUUCCCGGUGUAGCGGUGAAAUGCGCAGAUAUCGGGAGGAACACCGGUGGCGAAGGCGGUUCUCUGGGCCUGACCUGACGCUGAGGCACGAAAGCGUGGGGAGCAAACAGA
rnacentral:rRNA from 1 species